AUGCAUCACGUGUGCAUGUGUGCAUCAUGUAGGUGUGUGCACAUGUGUACAUUUGUGUGUUUUCUGCUUAUGUGUGUGCAUGGAUGUGCAUCGUGUGUAUGUGUGUGUGUGUUUAUGAAAAAUGAGGUUUUCGUCCCCACAAAACUGUGUCAUCCCUCUUAAGUCUGCAGCACACCCAGCAGAUAUUUCCCCUGUGGCAGAGGGUGUGUGGUGCACAGGUCCUUCCCUGGGUUCUUUCCACGGUAGGGCUUCGUCCUUGGGCUAAUAUUACAAUAACAAGAAAAGCCACAUUUCAGUUUGGACAACAAUGCUCCAAGGUGGAGCAGUGCACAGUCUGACUACUUACAGGUGUGGCAAUGUCUGGGAGGAGUUCUGGCUGCGUUUGUGUAUGGGACAGGAGCACAGACACAAGGUCGAAUGCCAUGUAUCUGCCUCUGUGAACGUCCUCGUCUGCACCAACAGUCUGUCAAAUAAUCCUCCUGCCUUGCCCAAUAUCCCUUCCUUAUGCAGGGAAGGUCAACCUCGAGUGGAGAAUCCCCAGGGCCCCGGCAUCUCUGCCCUUUGAUAUGGAGCUAAGGGAACUCUGUAGGAGGCGGCAGUUUGGACCCAGCUGCUGCACAGGGUCCAGCCAACCAGACCAGACCGGAGGUCUCACACCACUGAGGAGGAGCCAGGAUCUUUAUGUGACUGCCAGAGACAUCAGGAGAAAGCCCACAGAAGCCGAAUCUCCAAACAGGCUGGUCCUAGCUGGCAUGGGGAAGCUGUUCAUGUUGUAUCCUGAGUGUUUUUCGAGAAAGCUUUGAUGAAAGAAAAAAGUCACACAGAAAGGUGCCCGCAUCACAAGUUUCCAGCUCCAUGGGUUUUUGCAAACUGAGCACACUCGUGGGCCAGGAGCGGGCCCCCAGCGAGGACACCCUUCCUGCUGCUCCUGCCGCCCGCCCGUGGCACGGCAGGGGUUAGUUCUGCCUGUUUGGUUGACACAAAUGGGGCCGCACAGUGUUCAGCCUCGAGUCUGGCGUCCCUGCUCAGUAUCACCUGUGUGAGAUCAAACUGCACCGAUGUGUGUCGCAGCUCGUUCCUGCUCUUCUCCAUUAUCCGUUGUGAGAAUGGAAAGCACCGUUUGUGUUACCCCUCGUGGGACUUGCUAGUUUCCUUCUGCUGCUUUGACUAUUCUCAGACAUAUCCUGUGGCUUUGAAGCAAGAGUUGACCUUGAGGGUUUUUCGUUUUGUUUUGCUUUUUCCUGGUCUAACAAGAUGUUAUGCCCACUUUGUGCCUGUCUUCACCAGAAAUAGAACCAGCCAUUUUUUCAAGGAGCAGUGAUCCUUUCCAUGGAAAAUGAGGGUUAGGGAGAACAACAUUUUAAUUUAAUUACUUUUCAAAAUUUUUACGUAAAACUUAGAAACAAUCCUACCUAACUAAAUCAUCUAUAAAAAUGUGUAAAUAGCAAAAUAAAUGGCUCCAGCUUUCAAAA